CACCAUGCAGUCGAACGAUGACUCUCUAGCUUGCUAGAGAAGAUUACUGGCGGACGGGUGAGUAACAUUUAGGAAUCUGCCUAGUAGUGGGGGAUAGCUCGGGGAAACUCGAAUUAAUACCGCAUACGACCUACGGGUGAAAGGGGGCGCAAACUCUUGCUAUUAGAUGAGCCUAAAUCCGAUUAAAUAGUUGGUGGGGUAAAGGGCCACCAAGGCGACGAUCUGUAACUGGUCUGAGAGGAUGAUCAGUCACACCGGAACUGAGACACGGUCCGCUCUCCUACGGGAGGCAGCAGUGGGGAAUAUUGGACAAUGGGGGCAACCCUGAUCCAGCCAUGCCGCGUGUGUGAAGAAGGCCUUUUGGUUGUAAAGCACUUUAAGCAGGGAGGAGAGGCUAAUGGUUAAUACCCAUUAGAUUAGACGUUACCUGCAGAAUAAGCACCGGCUAACUCUGUGCCAGCAGCCGCGGUAAUACAGAGGGUGCGAGCGUUAAUCGGAAUUACUGGGCGUAAAGCGAGUGUAGGUGGCUCAUUAAGUCACAUGUGAAAUCCCCGGGCUUAACCUGGGAACUGCAUGUGAUACUGGUGGUGCUAGAAUAUGUGAGAGGGAAGUAGAAUUCCAGGUGUAGCGGUGAAAUGCGUAGAGAUCUGGAGGAAUACCGAUGGCGAAGGCAGCUUCCUGGCAUAAUAUUGACACUGAGAUUCGAAAGCGUGGGUAGCAAACAGGAUUAGAUACCCUGGUAGUCCACGCCGUAAAACGAUGUCUACUAGCCGUUGGGGGUCCUUGAGACUUUAGUGGCGCAGUUA
rnacentral:rRNA from 1 species